UACGUAGGGUGCGAGCGUUGCCCGGAUUUAUUGGGCUAAAGGGCGCGCAGGCGGCUACGCACGUCCGUUGUGAAAUCGCUCGGCUCAACUGGGCGGGUCAACGGAUACGGCGUAGCUGGAGCAAGCUAGGGGCAAUGGAAUUCCCGGUGUAGUGGUGGAAUGCGUAGAUAUCGGGAGGAACACCAGUGGCGAAGGCGGUUGCCUGGAGCUUGCUGACGCUGAGGCGCGAAAGCGUGGGAGCGAGUCCGG
rnacentral:rRNA from 1 species